UUAACUAUCCGCAUUUUUUCCCCCACUACAGUUUCCCUCCCCUGUUCCGGAGACCUCAUUUUUUUUUGGUUGUUGUUGCUCUUCUGAGCAUCCCAAAUUGCUUCGGCGUUGGAAAUUCCCUGGGCUGAUUCAGAAACUUUGAUCCGGCUCAACGGAUAACCUCAAACCAGGUUGAGUAGCGGGCGUGCAACACUGGUGGAAACAUCUGGCUGACUUUGCUGGGAACUUGUCCGGGCUUGAAAGUUGAAGUCGAGUCAGAGUCGUUUGAUCCCUGAGUCACAGCCCACCGGAAAUUCCCAAGGGGAUGGCUGGCACUUCCCUGCUGCGAUAGAGAAAAGCAGGAAAGGUCACUGCUACAAAAUAAAAAGAGCAGGUCAGAACACGGCCGCAAUAAAACUACCAGGAUCUUUAGCAAUCGGCAUGUUUUGAGACCCACUGAAAGCAAAGGUUGUGUGGAAAGUCCAGCUGCCCUUUUCUUGGAAGACGCAUCCUCGCACUGCACUGCCACCAAUUUCCUGUUAAAAGCUAAAGACAGGAAAUCGUAAGCAAGAAAGCAGAAUGUAUUGAUAUCCGUCUGAAAGUCUGAUGACCUCAAAGAGAUAUAUCACUUCCCUCCCCAGUUGACUGCUAAGGCAGGUUACUAUAAAUCCCAGCUGAAUUCAGCUCCUAUCACCAUCUUUGUUUCCUUGCUGGUGGUGGUGUUAGUUGUGAAGUUGUGUCCGACCCAUCGCGACCCCAUGGACCACGUUCCUCCAGGCCUUCCUGUCUUCUACUAUCCUCUGGAGUCCAUUGAAGCUCACGCCGACUGCUUCAGUGACUCCAUCCAGCCACCUCCUUCUCCGCCGUCCCUUCUUCUUUUGCCCUCCAUCGUUCCCAGCAUUCAGCUCUUCUCCAGGGAGUCCUUCCUUCUCCUUAGGUGGCCAAAGUAUUUGAGUUUCCUCUUCAGGAUCUGGCCUUCUAAAGAGCAGUCAGGGUUGAUCUCCUCUAGGAUUGACCGGUUGCAUCGCCUUGCAGUCCAAGGAACUCGCAGGAGUCUUCUCCAGCACCAGAGUUCAAAGGCCUCAAUUCUUUGGCGCUUCCUUAUGGUCCAACUUUCACAGCCAUACCUUGCAACUGGGAAAACCGUAGCCUUGACUGUACUCACGUUGGUAUGGUGUACAAGACCUCAUUAUGCUAAUUUUCAAAAAAAAUAAAAACAAGACAGAAAUGGAGGGGCUUCUUUGCCCCUUUCCUAAAUGCAGGGGAACCCACAGAGUGCAGUCAAAAAAAUGGUGGCCACAACAAGGGAUCAAAGUUCCGUUCCAUAAAAUGGCCAAGAAAACUACAUGAAUAUGCGCGUGGGAUCCCUUAGAAAAUAGCCCAGUGUUUUUCAAACUUGGAAAGUUUAAAUUGUGUAGACUUCAAGUCCCAGAAUUCCCCAGCCAGCAUGCUUUAAGGCAAGUGGACUUCAAGUCCCAGAAUUCCCCAGCCAGCAUGCUUUAAGACAGGUGGAGUGGGGAGGGAAUGGGGAUUUUGCAGUAUCCUUCCCCUGGUGUGGGGUAGGAAUGGAAAUUUUGCAAUAUCCUUUCCCUGGAGUGGGGUGGGAAUGGGGAUUUUGCAAUAUCCUUCCCUUGCUAUGCCCACCAAGCCACCCCCACCAAGCCACACCACGCCCACCAAGCCACGCCCACAGAACCGGUCAUAAAAAAAAAUUGGAUUUCUCCACUGCUCCUGCACCAACCU